GACGAACGCUGGCGGCGUGCUUAACACAUGCAAGUCGAACGGAAAGGCCUGCUUUCCCUUGUGGAUUGCGGGUACUCGAGUGGCGAACGGGUGAGUAACACGUGAGUGAUCUGCCCCCAACUUGGGUAUAAGCCUGGGAAACUGGGUCUAAUUCCCGAUAGGACUGCAGGGUGGUGCCUGUGGUGGAAAACGAUUUUCUAGUGGUUGGGGAUGAGCUCGCGGCCUAUCAGCUUGUUGGUGGGGUAAUGGCCUACCAAGGCGGCGACGGGUAGCCGGCCUGAGAGGGUGGACGGCCACAUUGGGACUGAGAUACGGCCCAGACUCCUUCGGGAGGCAGCAGUGGGGAAUAUUGCACAAUGGGCGGAAGCCUGAUGCAGCGACGCCGCGUGGGGGAUGACGGCCUUCGGGUUGUAAACUCCUUUCGACCGCGAGGAAGCCACCUGGUUGGAAGGGUGGUGACGGUAGUGGUAGAAGAAGCACCGGCUAACUACGUG
rnacentral:rRNA from 1 species